GCGCCCUUGGUGUAAUAGUAACACACAAUCUAUUAAUCUUGAAGUUUCCAUCAAAGUGUUUGGAUUGGGUCCGGGGUUCGACUCCCCGAGGGCGCA